CAUGUCCAUUCAAUGUCAAAUGCUAGGCUUGACUAUACUAGGCCUACUGUAGCAUACCAUGAUAGGCUUGACUAGCUAGGCUACUGGUCUGCUGGAUGAAGGCUAGUUUAUUUCAUAUCCAUAGUUAUUAAGGCAUAUAUAGGCCUAGUCUGCAGUCAUUCACCUACCACUACAGGAUGGCAUGUAAUCUCUCAUCAAUAGAAGAUCGUUUGAUCGUUCAAUCUGGUUAAUUUAGGUGUCACAUUUUAACUGAAAUUAUGCAAGCAACCAACAUUCAAAAUAUGAAGAAGGCAAAGGGAUUAGAAGUAGGAACAAAGACAUCAAAGGGAGCUGGUAAAGGAGAGCUGUUGAAGGCACGUAAUCUGAAAAGAUACCUCAACCAGGAAAGUGUCACUUUGCAAAAGCUCACUGUUAACGGCGUAUCAGGCAAGUUGGGGGCCCCGAGUAUCAGAGGUAUUUCCGCAACUGGGACGAGGAGGAUGGCGUGGGACCAAUGAUGGUCAUUUUACUGGAGGAGAUAUUCCAGGACAAACAAGCAUUGGAAUAAUUCAACAAGUUUCUUCAAAAGGAAGGAAAGGAUGACCUGUUGAAAAAAUCUUUGGCAGUAUAUGUCAAGUUUUGACACGGUCGAGAAGUACUCAGCAUUCAAAAAACAGAAAGCCCAAGUUGCUAAAAGCCCAGUUUGCUCCUUUAAUGAAUGGGAUCCUUUAGAAGAAGUGAUCGUCAGACGAGUUGAGAACGCCACUGUUCCAGAAUUAACGCCAGAAAUCUAGGCUGUCGUCCCCGAAAACGGUGGAAUUUUUUUUAAAGAGAACACAUGAGGAAGGCUUCGUUAGAGAUUGCGGAUUUUUCCGAAUUUUAGAACACGAAGGAGUGAAGGUUCGACGACCCUAUGUACUUGAUCAUUUGAAAUCGUAUUCCACGCCUGAUUUCAGCUCGACAGGAUUGUAUUCAGCGAUGCCACGUGAUCUUCUGCUUGUGGUUGGUGAGGAAAUAAUAAA